rnacentral:rRNA from 1 species
GACGAACGCUGGCGGCGUGCUUAACACAUGCAAGUCGAACGGAAAGGCCCUGCUUUUGUGGGGUGCUCGAGUGGCGAACGGGUGAGUAACACGUGAGUAACCUGCCCUUGACUUUGGGAUAACUUCAGGAAACUGGGGCUAAUACCGGAUAGGAGCUCCUGCUGCUUGGUGGGGGUUGGAAAGUUUCGGCGGUUGGGGAUGGACUCGCGGCUUAUCAGCUUGUUGGUGGGGUAGUGGCUUACCAAGGCUUUGUCGGGUAGCCGGCCUGAGAGGGUGACCGGCCACAUUGGGACUGAGAUACGGCCCAGACUCCUAUGGGAGGCAGCAGUGGGGAAUAUUGCACAAUGGGCGGAAGCCUGAUGCAGCAACGCCGCGUGCGGGAUGACGGCCUUCGGGUUGUAAACCGCUUUCGCCUGUGACGAAGCGUGAGUGACGGUAAUGGGUAAAGAAGCACCGGCUAACUACGUG